rnacentral:sRNA from 22 species
CAAGAAGCGCUUUGGUAUUCCAAAACUGUUUAAAAAACGACCAAAAGACACUGGACGGCGGCCCGUCCUGAGCAAUACUUAUAAGCGCUGACGCGUCAUAUCCCCCAAAUGACUCGCCAGUGGAGGUGCCAAUGGAUCAGCGCACCUUUGUUUUACUCCUAAUGGUCUUAACCCGGCUUCACCCCCCAGAAUCCGG